rnacentral:rRNA from 1 species
AAGGUUCUAUAUGAAUGGUAGUUGCUCAUGGGUUAGUCGAUCCUAAGGUUCAGGGGUACCUUGAUAGAUAACGUGUUUCACACAUACUUCGAAAGGGAAUUAGGUUAAAAUUCCUGAAUCGGGACGUGCUAUUCGAUAACAAUUUUAGAAAGUUCAGAGACGUCGCUGGGAGCCUCAAAAAGAGUUAUCUUUUCUGCUUAACAGCUUUCCCACCCUAGAAUUGGCUCAGUCGAAGGUAGGGUCUAGCAGCUGCAAGAUCAGCAUAAGUCAUGUAGUGUCCAAUGCGCUUCUGGAGGCCCUUGAAAAUCCAAAGGACCGAAUGCCAUCAACGCCUAAUCGUACUCAUAACCGCAUCAGGUCUCCAAGGUAAACAACCUCUGGUCAAUGGAACAAUGUAGGCAAGGAAUCUAUAACUUUGGGAAAAAGAUUGGCUCUGAGGGCUGGGCACAAGGGUCCGAGUCCUGAAUCCAUUGGUUAUCAGUGGAAUGCUUAAGCUACUCCCACGGUAAGAGUGGGUCAUCACAUUCUGAUCGGGGGAUGAAUUAGGAAUAGUUCCUUUGAGGGCCUUCCCUGCGCAUCAAACCGCCAACUCAGAACUAGUACAGACAAGGAGAAUCCAACUAUUUAAUUAAAAAAAGGCAUUGUGAUGGUCCCAAUGAAUGAUCAUGCAAUGUGAUUUCUGCCCAGUCCUCCAAAUUUAAAAUUACCAAAAUUAUCCAAGCGCGGGUAAACGGCGGGAGUAACUAUGAAUCUCUUAAGGUAGCCAAAGUCCUCGUCAUCUAAUUAGUGAUACACAUAAAUAGAUUAACGAGAUUCCCACUAUCCUUGUCUACUAUCCAGUGAAACUACAACUAAGGGAACAAGCUUGGCAAAAUCAGUGGGGAAAGAAUAACCUAUUGAGCUUGACUCUAGUUCGACUUUGUGAAAUGACUUGAGAGGUCUAGUAUAAAUGGGAGCCAAAGGAGAAAGUGAAAUACCACUACUUUUAAUGUUAUUUUACUUAUUUUGUGAAUCGAAAGUGGGGCACUGCCCCUCUUUUUGGAUCCAAGGCUCGCUCUGCGGGCGGAUAUAGGUGGAAGACAUUGUUAGUUUAGGAAUUUGGCUAGGGAGGCAUAUCUGUUAAAAACUAACGUAGGUGUCCUAAGAUGAGCUCAACGAGAACAGAAAUCUAGUGUAGAAUAGAAGGGUAAAAGCUCGUUUGAUUCUGAUUUCCAGUAUGAAUACAAAUAAUGAAAGCGUGGACUAACGAUUCUUUAAACCUUCAAAAUUCAAUGCUAGAAGUGGCAGAAAAGUUACCAUAGUGAUAACUAGCUUGUAGCAGCCAAGAAUUCAUAGCGACGUCUCUUUUUGAUCCUUCGAUGUCGGCUCUUCUUAAUUUUGUAAAGAAGAAUUCACUAAGUAUUGGAUUGUUCACCCACCAAUAGGGAACAGGAGAUGGGUUAAUACCAUUGUGAGACAGGUUAGUUAUUCCCUACUGAUGAUAGUGUCUCAAUUGUAAUUCAACCUAGUACUAGAGGAACUUUAGAUUCACACAAUUAGUCAUCAUGCUUAGUUGAAAUGCCAGUGGCAUAAAGCUACCAUGUGUUGGAUUAAGACUAUAUGCCUCUAAGUCAGAAUUUGGCCUAGAAGCGACACAUUUACCCUCUGUCCACUUUUUGACCCGCAGUAGGGGCCUCAUCCCCCAAGGGCAUAUAUCAUUGGCUAAGACAUUGCGGCAAAAGGGUCGCGGUGGCCGCUUCAAAGUAUAAUUUUCUUUGAGAGGUGGGUAGAAUCCCUUGCAGAUGACUUAAAUAUACGACUAGGUAUUGUAAGUGGUAGAGUGGCCUUGCUUCCACGAUCUACUAGGAUUCGGCCAU